GGGGAGGAAGGUGGGGACGACGUCAAGUCAGUAUGGCCCUUACGGCCUGGGCUGCACACGUACUACAAUGCCCAGCACAGAACGAUCCAAGACCGCGAGGUGGAGGAAAUCACUAAAACUGGGCCCAGUUCAGAUUGAAGUCUGCAACUCGACUUCAUGAAGCCGGAAUCGCUAGUAAUGGCGCAUCAGCUACGGCGCCGUGAAUACGUUCCCGGGCCUUGUACACACCGCCCGUCACAUCAUGGAAGUCGCUUGUAGCCGAAGCCGGCGCGCUAACCGCAAGGAGGCAGCCGCCUACGCUAUGAGCGGUAACUGGGAUGAAGUCGUAACAAGGUAGCCGUAGGGGAACCUGCGGCUGGAUCACCUCCUUUCUAAGGAGAAA
rnacentral:rRNA from 1 species